CUGUAAUGAUGACAACUUAGGACACCUUUGAAUUAAUAAUGAAAAGAACUGAAAUUCUGAGCAGC